AUUGUAAAUUAUUAUAAUCGCCUUCGUAAUUUCUUUCCAGCAAUAUGCUGACAUGCAUGAAUCGUUCAAUACGUUUGACCAGAUUAGCGGUUAAAGAUGAUCUAUUUAGAAAAAUGGGAUGCAUAUUAAAUCCCAGGAUUUCCUUACGCACAAAUCAAAUUUCAAAGAUAGCAUAUUCAAACAUGGUUGAUCCUAAACGAGUCAUGAGUUACGAAGAUAUGCUGAAAGUUAUUCACCAGCCUGAGAAAAUGAUUAUAGAUGUUUGUAAUCCAGAGGAAGUUAAUUCUACUGGAAAAAUACCUUCAAGCAUCAAUAUACCAUUGGGAAAUGUUCAAGAUGCCUUAGCAACUAUGUCAGAUGAAGAGUUUAAGAAACAAUAUAGAAGGCCAAAACCUUCUGCUUCAGAUGAGCUAAUAUUUUAUUGCCAGUCUGGUAGACGUUCAACUGAGGCUCUAGACAAAGCAUUGAAACUUGGAUUCAAUAAGUAAUUUCUUCAGUAUAACCAUAUUUAUAAUACAAGAAUACCUGUAGUUCAGAGUAGAUAGUUUAGAAGAAAGGACUUUACCCACCAUAUAUUUAAAACCUUUAGAGUAACUGUUUAGUGCUAAUAACUAUUGGCACUAAAUGGUUGAACAGCCAAGACUUUCACACCACAUUAAAGUUCAAACAAAAUACUAAGGGAUAAUACUAUUUUGUUAAUGUUAAUCACACAAAUCCAAAACUUACCUAGGCAGUUGGAAUGAUUGGUCUAGCAAACAAAAAUGAUGAAAAUAUAUAUUUUUAACAUUUUAA